CUCCGCCCCAUUGGAACGCGCAAGGAAAACUAAUUAACUGCUCUCCAGUCCGCCAUUUUCACUCUCGCUUUGGAGCUGGAAGCUGAUGCAUCGCGGUGGAUUUCAACAGUGUAAAAAGAUAUCUGAUACUCAUCUAUUCACGUGCAAUUUGAUUGGCAAAGGCUCUGUAGUAGUGUGAAUGUAGCAGUGGAAAGGGUGCUGAGCAGCAGUUUCCAGUAGAUUGGCACUACUAAACCAUUAUAAAGUCAAGCGUUCUCAUUUUGUUUUUCUUAAUUCGUUCAUUGAAUUUAAGCUUUUUUUUACUUAAAACUUAACUUAGCUUAUUUUUUGUAGCCCAUACUCUGAAAAAUAUUUUUUUCUGUUAAAAAUAACACAGUGAUUUGUCUUGCCUUACUGCUUUUAAAACUGAAAAAAAAAAAAAAAAACAUCAAGGGGAGCUUUGGACUACUUGUUACUCAUUACUGUUCAUCUUUUUCACUACACCUGUUUGAUGGUGAAUUGUUGCAUUUUACUGUAUCUGAUCUGGUCUAUUGACAGGAAAUGUCAUAGUUCAUAGUCAUCCAUUCAUCCUAUGCUCUGAAAAAUUUAUUGUACUGUUAAAAUUAUACAGUGAUUUGAUUUGUCUUACUGCUUUUAAAACUGAAAACAAAAUCGCCAAGGGAAGCUUUGGACUACUUAAUUCUCAUCAUUACUGUUCGCCUUUUCCACUACACCUGUUUGAUGGUGUCUCAUUUUGUACUCAAUGACAGUGGAUAUGUUGUUAUUAUUCAUGAAAUUUAUGCUAUUUUUAACUUCACACAGAGA